GACGAACGCUGGCGGCGUGCCUAAUACAUGCAAGUUGAGCGAUGAAGAUUGGUGCUUGCCCCAAUUUGAAGAGCAGCGAACGGGUGAGUAACGCGUGGGGAAUCUGCCUUUGAGCGGGGGACAACAUUUGGAAACGAAUGCUAAUACCGCAUAAUAACUUUAAACAUAAGUUUUAAGUUUGAAAGAUGCAAUUGCAUCACUCAAAGAUGAUCCCGCGUUGUAUUAGCUAGUUGGUGAGGUAAAGGCUCACCAAGGCGAUGAUACAUAGCCGACCUGAGAGGGGGAUCGGCCACAUUGGGACUGAGACACGGCCCAAACUCCUACGGGAGGCAGCAGUAGGGAAUCUUCGGCAAUGGACGAAAGUCUGACCGAGCAACGCCGCGUGAGUGAAGAAGGUUUUCGGAUCGUAAAACUCUGUUGGUAGAGAAGAACGUUGGUGAGAGUGGAAAGCUCAUCAAGUGACGGUAACUACCCAGAAAGGGACGGCUAACUACGUG
rnacentral:rRNA from 1 species